UUAAAAUGUAUAUAUAUUUAAAAUACACAGGAUUUUAGACCUGCUCCGUCUCCGACCUGGGCCGGUUCACCCCUCCUUAGACAACCUGGUGGCCCCCCGCUCCCAAGAGGUCA